AGUAGAAUGGCUGAGUUGUUUAAGCAAUAAACUGUAAAUUUAUUUACGAAUCAUACGAGAUUCUUCUACUA
rnacentral:tRNA from 1 species